CCUACGGGUGGCAGCAGUGGGGGAUAUUGCACAAUGGAGGAAACUCUGAUGCAGCGACGCCGCGUGAGGGAAGACGGUCUUCGGAUUGUAAACCUCUGUCUUUGGGGAAGAAAAUGACGGUACCCAAAGAGGAAGCUCCGGCUAACUACGUGCCAGCAGCCGCGGUAAUACGUAGGGCGCGAGCGUUGUCCGGAAUUACUGGGUGAAACGGGAGCGUAGGCGGGCGAGAAAGUUGAAUGUUAAAUCUACCGGCUAAACUGGUAGCUGCGUUCAAAACUUCUUGUCUUGAGUGAAGUAGAGGCAGGCGGAAGUCCUGGUGUAGCGGUGAAAUGCGUAGAGAUUAGGAGGAACACCAGUGGCGAAGGCGGCCUGCUGGCCUGCAACUGACGCUCAGUCCCGAAAGCGUGGGGAGCAAAUAGGAUUAGAUACCCUUGUAGUC
rnacentral:rRNA from 1 species